CAAUGGGGGAACCCUGAUGCAGCGACGCCGCGUGAAGGAAGAAGUAUCUCGGUAUGUAAACUUCUAUCAGCAGGGNAAGAUAGUGACGGUACCUGACUAAGAAGCCCCGGCUAACUACGUGCCAGCAGCCGCGGUAAUACGUAGGGGGCAAGCGUUAUCCGGAUUUACUGGGUGUAAAGGGAGCGUAGAUGGCAUGGCAAGUCUGAAGUGAAAGCCCGGGGCUUAACCCCGGGACUGCUUUGGAAACUGUUAAGCUAGAGUGCAGGAGAGGUAAGCGGAAUUCCUAGUGUAGCGGUGAAAUGCGUAGAUAUUAGGAGGAACACCGGUGGCGAAGGCGGCUUACUGGACUGUAACUGACAUUGAGGCUCGAAAGCGUGGGGAGCAAACAGGAUUAGAUACCCUGGUAGUCCAAGGGCGAAUUC
rnacentral:rRNA from 1 species